rnacentral:lncRNA from 1 species
AAACACUUUUCCUUACCUGUUGAUGGUGCCAAUAUGCUCCAAUAGGGGAAGUAUUUUAUAAUCACUUGAGUGUCAUCUGUUGCUGCAUCCUUCCAGAUGGCUCAAGACCCUGGAGACUGGCAUGAGGAUAUUUAUUGGAGGACUGCUGGGAAUUUUCCUAGCUCUGGUAGACGAGACUGCUGGCAGAGUUGACCUUAACAGAGACAUGGACCUGCUUUUCAAAGGUCUCUACGGACACGCAGCUGUCAGUCAAUUCAACAGGGAUUUCCAGAAUUUCAUGUGUAUUCUGAGUGGCAAUAUUAAAGUUAGUGAAAACCUUGCUUACUUCUGUCUCUAAAAUAAAGCAUAUGUUUUCUAUGGGGAGAUGGAUGCA